rnacentral:rRNA from 1 species
GACGAACCGUGCGAACGUUGUUCGGAAUCACUGGGCUUAAAGGGCGCGUAGGCGGGCUGCCAAGUCCGUAGGUGAAAUCCCCCGGCUCAACCGGGGAACGGCCUCGGAUACUGGCGGCCUCGAGGGGGGUAGGGGCGUGCGGAACUGUGGGUGGAGCGGUGAAAUGCGUUGAGAUCCACAGGAACUCCGGUGGCGAAGGCGGCACGCUGGACCCUUUCUGACGCUGAGGCGCGAAAGCCAGGGGAGCGAACGGG